AGAGUUUGAUCCUGGCUCAGAACGUACGCUGGCGGCACGCCUAAUACAUGCAAGUCGAACGAAGUAGCAAUACUUAGUGGCAGACGGGUGAGUAACAUGUGGGUAUCUUCCCUUUGGUGAGGAAUAACACGAGGAAACUUGUGCUAAUACCUCAUAAGUCUUUACGGAGAAAGCUUUAUGCGCCAUUGGAUGAGCCCGCACUUGAUUAGUUUGUUGGUGGGGUAAUGGCCUACCAAGACUGUGAUCAAUAGCUGAUUUGAGAGGAUGAUCAGCCACAUUGGGACUGAGACACGGCCCAAACUCCUACGGGAGGCAGCAGUAGGGAAUCUUGCACAAUGGAGGAAACUCUGAUGCAGCGAUGCCGCGUGAGUGAAGAAGGCCUUUGGGUUGUAAAGCUCUUUCGUCGGGGAAGAAAAUGACUGUACCCGAAUAAGAAGGUCCGGCUAACUUCGUGCCAGCAGCCGCGGUAAUACGAAGGGACCUAGCGUAGUUCGGAAUUACUGGGCUUAAAGAGUUCGUAGGUGGUUAAAAUAGUUGGUGGUGAAAUCCCAGAGCUUAACUCUGGAACUGCCAUCAAAACUUUUUAGCUAGAGUAUGAUAGAGGAAAGCAGAAUUUCUAGUGUAGAGGUGAAAUUCGUAGAUAUUAGAAAGAAUACCAAUUGCGAAGGCAGCUUUCUGGAUCAUUACUGACACUGAGGAACGAAAGCAUGGGUAGCGAAGAGGAUUAGAUACCCUCGUAGUCCAUGCCGUAAACGAUGUGUGUUAGACGUUGGAAAUUUAUUUUCAGUGUCGCAGCAAAAGCGAUAAACACACCGCCUGGGGAGUACGACCGCAAGGUUAAAACUCAAAUGAAUUGACGGGGACCCGCACAAGUAGUGGAGCAUGUGGUUUAAUUCGAAGAUACGCGCAGAACCUUACCAACACUUGACAUGUUCGUCGCGACUCUAAGAGAUUAGAGUUUUCGGUUCGGCCGGACGAAACACAGGUGCUGCAUGGCUGUCGUCAGCUCGUGUCGUGAGAUGUUGGGUUAAGUCCCGCAACGAGCGCAACCCUCACUUUUAGUUGCCAUCAUUAAGUUGGGCACUCUGAAAGAACUGCCAGUGAUAAGCUGGAGGAAGGUGGGGAUGACGUCAAGUCCUCAUGGCCCUUACGUGUUGGGCUACACACGUGCUACAAUGGCAUCUACAACAGGAAGCAAAACGGCAACGUUAAGCAAAUCCCGAAAAGAUGCCUCAGUUCGGAUUGCACUCUGCAACUCGAGUGCAUGAAGCUGGAAUUACUAGUAAUCGCGGAUCAGCGCGCCGCGGUGAAUACGUUCCCGGGUCUUGUACACACCGCCCGUCACACCAUGGGAGUUGGUUCUACCUUAAGGCAAAGUUUAAAACCUUUGACCACGGUAUAGUCAGCGACUGGGGUGAAGUCGUAACAAGGUAACC
rnacentral:rRNA from 1 species